GUCGGUGACCAGAGGUGCAAGGAAACACCUGUUCCCAUUCCGAACACAGAAGUUAAGCUUGUGCCGCCGAUGAUACUGCUCAGCGGGAAAGUAGGUCAUUGCCGACU
rnacentral:rRNA from 1 species